AUUGAACGCUGGCGGCAGGCCUAACACAUGCAAGUCGAGCGGAUGAAGGGAGCUUGCUCCUGGAUUCAGCGGCGGACGGGUGAGUAAUGCCUAGGAAUCUGCCUGGUAGUGGGGGAUAACGUCCGGAAACGGGCGCUAAUACCGCAUACGUCCUGAGGGAGAAAGUGGGGGAUCUUCGGACCUCACGCUAUCAGAUGAGCCUAGGUCGGAUUAGCUAGUUGGUGGGGUAAAGGCCUACCAAGGCGACGAUCCGUAACUGGUCUGAGAGGAUGAUCAGUCACACUGGAACUGAGACACGGUCCAGACUCCUACGGGAGGCAGCAGUGGGGAAUAUUGGAAGAUGGGCGAAAGACUGAUCCAGGCAUGCCGCGUGUGUGAAGAAGGUCUUCGGAUUGUAAAGCACUUUAAGUUGGGAGGAAGGGCAGUAAGUUAAUACCUUGCUGUUUUGACGUUACCAACAGAAUAAGCACCGGCUAACUUCGUG
rnacentral:rRNA from 1 species